rnacentral:rRNA from 2 species
CAUGCUAGUCUUUGUAGUAAUACAAGGCAUACGGCUCAGUAACGCGUAGUCAACUUACCCUAUGGACGGGGAUAAUCUCGGGAAACUGAGCAUAAUACCCGACAGACCACUUCUCCUGGAAUGGUUAGUGGUUAAAAUGAUUCGUCGCCAUAGGAUGGGACUGCGGCCUAUCAGCUUGUUGGUGAGGUAAUGGCCCACCAAGGCGAUUACAGGUACGGGCUCUGAGAGGAGAAGCCCGGAGAUGGGUACUGAGACAAGGACCCAGGCCCUAUGGGGCGCAGCAGGCGAGAAAACUUUGCAAUGUGCGAAAGCACGACAAGGUUAAUCCGAGUGAUUUCUGCUAAAGGAAUCUUUUGUUAGUUCUAAAAAUACUAGUGAAUAAGGGGUGGGCAAGUUCUGGUGUCGGCCGCCGCGGUAAAACCAGCACCUCAAGUGGUCAGGAGGAUUAUUGGGCCUAAAGCAUCCGUAGCCUGUUCUAUAAGUUUGCGGUUAAAUCCAUAUGCUCAACAUAUGGGCUGCCGUAAAUACUGUAGAACUAGGGAGUGGGAGAGGUAGACGGUACUCGAUAGGAAGGGGUAAAAUCCUUUGAUCUAUUGAUGACCACCUGUGGCGAAGGCGGUCUACCAGAACACGUUCGACGGUGAGGGAUGAAAGCUGGGGGAGCAAACCGGAUUAGAUACCCGGGUAGUCCCAGCUGUAAACGAUGCAGACUCGAUGAUGCAAUGGCAUAGAGCUAUUGCAGUAUCGCAGGGAAGCCGUUAAGUCUGCCGCCUGGGAAGUACGUACGCAAGUAUGAAACUUAAAGG